AAGAAUCUGAAGCUGGGGGAGGCAAAGCAGCUUACCCAAGAUGUGGAAGCUGAGGCACAGAGAAUUAAGUCAUCCAUGCAAGAUUACAGUGGCAGGACCGCAGCCAGGACCAGGGCCCCACCUGACACCUGCCUGGUUCAAAGGAGCUCUUCCCCAGGCUGGACUUGGCUCGGAUUCCCAGGUGUGGGCUGGGGUCCUGAUGUGGACCUUCCAGACUCCUGGA